rnacentral:rRNA from 1 species
AGAACGAACGCUGGCGGCAUGCCUAACACAUGCAAGUCGAACGCUCCUGGGGCUUCGGUCUCAGGGGAGUGGCGCACGGGUGAGUAGCGCGUGGGAACCUGCCCUGUUGUGGGGGAUAACCGAGGGAAACUUCGGCUAAUACCGCAUACGCCCGGGGGAAACUCCGGGGAAAGAUUUAUCGCAGCAGGAGGGGCCCGCGUCGGAUUAGGUAGUUGGUGGGGUAACGGCCCACCAAGCCUGUGAUCCGUAGCUGGUCUGAGAGGAUGAUCAGCCACACUGGGACUGAGACACGGCCCAGACUCCUACGGGAGGCAGCAGUGGGGAAUAUUGGACAAUGGGCGCAAGCCUGAUCCAGCAAUGCCGCGUGAGUGAUGAAGGCCUUCGGGUUGUAAAGCUCUUUCGCACGCGACGAUGAUGACGGUAGCGUGAGAAGAAGCCCCGGCUAACUUCGUGCCAGCAGCCGC